GUUGAUUGAAGCCUCUUUUUUAAACUUACAUGUUUAGGAGCCUGUAGAGUUCUUUGGGAUUCUUUUUACUCAUCCUUACUUCGAUGACGUCCCAGAGGAUAUUUUCCGCUCAAUGGUAAAGUACCUCGACGAUAAAGACGUACAAUCGCGAUAAGAGAUCAGAGAACAUGGGAACCAGAGAAAUUUCUUCGUAAAUUUCCAAAAAAAGGUUGCGAUAGAAAAGAUUGCCUACGAAGUCUACUGAAAGUUUUGCGUGAUUUCCGGGGUGCGAUUCCUCAUUUAUUACAAUUGCUAAGUGUUGGURAAGAGUUAGUCACCACGCCUCUCAAGGAUAACCAAGAGCUCAAAGAAAAAACUAUAGACAUUGUUAGCAAAAACCCGAAUAUCUGCUGGGAGACAUUGGCUGGUCAUUUAAAAGUCGAUGAAGAAAUAGUCAAGAAAUGUAGGGAAGAUUACUCGGGAGAUACACAUAAAGUAACAAGCCAGAUGCUCAGAGAAUGGAUCGAAACAUCAGAUGAGAGCUGUACAUUAGAGAUCAUAUUUGAAGCUUUACGGUUGUGUGGGUAUAAAGAAACAGGGAUAGAACUAGCCACCUAUACGACGGAAAAAUGCAAAAGUAGAAUAUACUAGCGCAGCUAUUGAGCAGCUAUUUUUGCUGGCCCUUGAAAAAAAUAAUAAGCAAAAUACAUGAGUAGACAAUAUAAUUCCACUUAGCAUAAACCUACUAGCAUACUAUCACGAAUCCUGGAAUCUGAUUGGCUAASGUACUCACUAUCUAUCCUGUGAUAGAUAGUGAGUAGCGAAAAAACAAACAAGUGCAUGGUCAAGUUUUGUUGAAAUCUCUGCUUGUUUCUAAACAUUUAGUCACURUAUAUAAAAAUCUGUUGUAGAAAAGACUAGGAAAGGAAUUGAAGUUUUGGACGGUAGAGACUACAAAAUAAAAACUGAGGAAUAUUUAGCAAUUUUAAUUUUAAUUUUUUUUUCGCGCCUCAUCGACUAUCUAUUGACUCAUAGAAAACUCGACCUCGAAGUCUAAUAUGUUAAUUAGACUUUUACGUCGAGUGUUGCUAAUCUCUAUAUAUUAGAUAUAAAUUUUUUUUUCACGGGCCAAGUAAAAUUAUCUUAAUUAAUAAUAGUGUUUCAGUCAUAAGAUGACGGAUACAAGAUUUUUGGAACACGAAUUUUUGGAAAAAAAAAUGCUUUUUUAAAAAACUAUAAAUGCUAAAACGCUAGGGCGAGGGUUGUUUAAGUAAGUAAGUAUUGUAAAAGGAUGUUAGAGGGUUAGUUGAGCGGGUUAUUUAAAAAUAUAGUUAGAAUUAUUACAAUAAAUUAA